CUGAAUUCAAUGUUGGAGAGCUAUUUGCAAGGUACCUAAUUGUUUGAUUAUUGAUUCUCAAUUGGUCCCCUCCAAGUAGCUCUAUUGCAUUGUUUGC
rnacentral:pre_miRNA from 15 species